CUUGUUAAUUAUUUGGUUGUUUAGUUGUCUAGUUGCUUGUUUACUUGUGAUUAAUUGCUUUUUAUUUCCUUUUUUUGUGCAGUCUAGCUGAGUGCUGCCAGUUUGGGAGGGACACAUGUAUUUUUGGAUCCUGUUUGCGGUGAGGUUUCCUGUGCUGCACCUGAGUUCUGGGGAAGUGGAACAGUCUGCAAAAGUUUUCCCCUUCAGUCGGCACAGGAGAGCAGUGACCACAGAUGUACUUGAGUGUAAAGAGGCCAGGCCCUGGCAGUUUCAAAGCUGCUCCUAAACAACAUCUGCUCUGUGAGUUUGGAGCGCCAUACAGCCAUGUCAGGACACAUCAUGACUUACAAUUGCAGCUCUAAAUCAAUAUUUUCCUCCAUCUCAUACUGGAUUGUUCCACUGGCCUGAGUUCAAGAAUGGACAAGCGCUCAUUGAGAAGAGGGGAAAAAUGUUGGAGUGGAUAGACGGGAGGGACCCAUCGCAUUUUUCCAAUUCACCACAAUCAGAAACAGAUUUUCAGCAAUUAGUCUGAACUAACUUGCAGGUUUAUUGUCUAAAAACACAGUGACAGUGCUUCUCAGACAACCAAAUGAAAACAAUUACUACUGAUUAUGUUUGAUUGUCAGCAUGAAGUUCCUUAAUAUGCCAUAUAAUAAUUUACAGUCACUAUAUCUGUCUUAUCCACAAUGCUUGUAAUCUCUUUUUUUUUUCUUUGUUGGCUGUCAUUCUUCUUUACUGUAUUGCUGCAAAUAUUUUAAUUUGGGGACAUUCAGUCUCAUUUCAACUUCAAUUUGCAGCUUUUAAUUGUUUAGUUUUCAAGUAAAAGUGUAAGUAAAGCGUAAUAUUAUUCAAAUUAAGAUUAAAUGAAGCAUAUAAUUCCUGAAUGCCUGAUUUCAUUUCAAAAUCCGGUUCAUGCACAAUUCUAUCAUUGUCCCAUGAACAUGUUGCACAGUAUGUAAAAA